UACAGAGGUCUCAAGCGUUGUUCGGAUUCAUUGGGCGUAAAGGGUGUGUAGGCGGCGCCGUAAGUCAGGUGUGAAAUCUCGGGGCUUAACUCCGAAACUGCAUUUGAUACUGCGGUGCUUGAGGACUGGAGAGGAGACUGGAAUUCAUGGUGUAGCAGUGAAAUGCGUAGAGAUCAUGAGGAAGACCAGUGGCGAAGGCGGGUCUCUGGACAGUUCCUGACGCUGAGACACGAAGGCCAGGGGAGCAAACGGG
rnacentral:rRNA from 1 species